AUACCACUCGUACACUGCGGUUCUGAGCGCGCCGUCAGCGUCCGCCUGACGGCCGCUCGAUGCGUUUUGUUAGCC
rnacentral:sRNA from 9 species